rnacentral:lncRNA from 1 species
ACAAACUUUGGAAUCAGAUACAGGACUCUCAGUUAGCAUACUACCAGCAAAAUUGGCAGCACAAAUGGGAGGAGAGGUCUGAGCAGUGGAGUCCCCCAACUUGGAUUGUUGCAGCAGAGUCAUCAAUUGAUCAUAAUGUUGCCUGCUCAAGCCAGGGAUUACAGAUCCAUGUCCAUCCAUAUUUGGGACAGAUGAAUUACCCUCAGUGGGAUUUCCAGCAACAUUAGAAGUGUAUCUAUCAGAAGAGGUGAAGGAGGUGAAAUCAGCACCAGUGGUUA